rnacentral:tRNA from 1 species
ACCUGGGUGGCUCAGUCAGUUGAGCGUCUGACUUCGGCUCAGGUCAUGAUCUCGUGGUUUGUGGGUUCGAGCCCCAUGUCGGGCU